GAUGAACGCUCGCGGCAGGCCUAAUACAUGCAAGUCGAACGAGAUUAAGAGGCUUGCUUCUUAUGAAAGUGGCGCACGGGUGCGUAACGCGUAUGCAACCUACCUUAAUCAGGGGGAUAGCCCGAAGAAAUUCGGAAUAAGACCGCAUAAAAACACAGGAUAGCAUUAUCCAAUGUUCAAAUAUUUAUAGGAUUAAGAUGGGCAUGCGUGUCAUUAGCUAGUUGGCGGGGUAACGGCCCACCAAGGCGACGAUGACUAGGGGAUCUGAGAGGAUGACCCCCCACACUGGUACUGAGACACGGACCAGACUCCUACGGGAGGCAGCAGUAAGGAAUAUUGGUCAAUGGAGGGAACUCUGAACCAGCCAUGCCGCGUGCAGGAAGACAGCCCUCUGGGUCGUAAACUGCUUUUAUUCGGGAAUAAACCUUUCUACGUGUAGGAAGCUGAAUGUACCGAAGGAAUAAGGAUCGGCUAACUCCGUG
rnacentral:rRNA from 1 species